rnacentral:rRNA from 1 species
GAUGAACGCUGGCGGCAUGCCUAACACAUGCAAGUCGAACGCACCGCAAGGUGAGUGGCGCACGGGUGAGUAACGCGUGGGAACCUGCCCUGGAGUGGGGGAUAACCGAGGGAAACCUCGGCUAAUACCGCAUACGUCCUUAGGGAGAAAGAUUUAUCGCUCUAGGAGGGGCCCGCGUCGGAUUAGCUAGUUGGUGAGGUAACGGCUCACCAAGGCAACGAUCCGUAGCUGGUCUGAGAGGAUGAUCAGCCACACUGGGACUGAGACACGGCCCAGACUCCUACGGGAGGCAGCAGUGGGGAAUAUUGGACAAUGGGGGAAACCCUGAUCCAG